UACGUAGGGGGCAAGCGUUGUCCGGAUUUAUUGGGCGUAAAGAGCGUGUAGGCGGCUUUACAGGUCCGUUGUGAAAACUCGAGGCUCAACCUCGAGACGCCGGUGGAAACCGUAAGGCUAGAGUCCGGAAGAGGAGAGUGGAAUUCCUGGUGUAGCGGUGAAAUGCGCAGAUAUCAGGAGGAACACCCGUGGCGAAAGCGGCUCUCUGGGACGGUACUGACGCUGAGGCGCGAAAGCUAGGGGAGCAAACAGG
rnacentral:rRNA from 1 species